AGAGUUGAUCAUGGCUCAGGAUGAACGCUAGCGACAGGCUAACACAUGCAAGUCGAGGGCAGCAUAAAAGUAGCAAUACUUGGUGGCGACCGGCGCACGGGUGAGUAACGCGUAUGCAACCUACCUAUCAGAGGGGAAUAACCCGGCGAAAGUCGGACUAAUACCGCAUAAAACAGGGGCACCGCAUGGUGAUAUUUGUUAAAGAAAUUCGCUGAUAGAUGGGCAUGCGUUCCAUUAGGUAGUUGGUGAGGUAACGGCUCACCAAGCCGACGAUGGAUAGGGGAACUGAGAGGUUGGUCCCCCACACUGGUACUGAGACACGGACCAGACUCCUACGGGAGGCAGCAGUGAGGAAUAUUGGUCAAUGGGCGGGAGCCUGAACCAGCCAAGUCGCGUGAAGGAAAGAAGGAUCUAUGGUUCGUAAACUUCUUUUGCAGGGGAAUAAAGUGCAGGACGUGUCCUGUUUUGUAUGUACCCUGAGAAUAAGGAUCGGCUAACUCCGUGCCAGCAGCAGC
rnacentral:rRNA from 1 species